GUCUCCCCUCUUUCCCAAUCCAUCAGACCCUCCUUGGGCUCAUUUGUUCUUUGCUCACAGUUCUUUACAUCUAGAAAAAGCACAGAGGGAAAAAGUGGAUAUUUUCAAGUGAGGACACUCCCCCCCUCCCCAGAUUUUAAAUAAAAAUCUUGACUUCUGCAAAUUUCCAUCAGUUUUAGGGAAGCAGCACUGCCUGUUCUUUAUGGAGGAGUGUGUUGGGGCUGCCCACUGUGCUCUCACUCAGGGAGACUCCAGGAUUGAGGGGGAAGAAGCCCCACAGACCCAUCCGCUCAAACCCAUCUGCUGAAUCAAUGAAAAGCUGAACCUAAAAACCAGUUCCCAGCGCACUUGGACACACUGCAGAGACUCCAGAGACUCAGAGGAGGCAGCAGGAGGUCCCUGAAGGCAGCGGGUGCUGCUGGAGAAGGUGGGGCUGGAGAUGACACCAAAAGAGCCACUGGAGCACAGUGCAAACAGUCUCCUCUCCCUGGCCUUGAGGCAUGCUCAGGUCCCAGCUGGAUUUGUGUCCCUCAGGCAGUUCCUGUCCAGGGGAAGCACGAGGAGUCCCAUGUUGCUGCAGGUUGGAUGUCCUGGGAGCUGGGGAGGUCCCAGCUGGUUCCCCUUGUUGCUGCACACUGACCUGCUGCUUCUGUGGGAGCUGCAUUCCCUCAGAGACAUCAGUAGCAUCCAGGAAAUGGCUGUUUUUUCCCCACCUCCCACCUUUUUGGGCUCCCAGAGCUCCCAUUUAGACUGCAGAGAGCAGGGCAGCAAUGUUUCUGUGCUGUUCUGAUGCUGGGUUUAGCAGUGUAAGUGCUCUCAGCAUUCCACUGAGCACCUCCCAUUCUGUCCCUCAUGGAAUGCCCGUCUGAAGGGAUGUAAUUCCGGCUUAAUUCCAGCUUCUACCUCUCCACACCAUUAUUUACAAGCACAGUUCCAUGCCCCCAUCAGGCCUGGCUGGUGCCACCACUGAGCAAAAUGCAGUUAAUUUGGCACAUGCCAUAUUUGAACCAUCCUGACAAAACAAGUGUUGGCAUCUCCAACAGGCUCAGGAUGACACAAUUGCUCCUGACAGGGAGCUUUGGAAGGGCAUUCAGGGAGUCAUGGGAAGCUGUGGAACCCAAGGAGACCAUCAUGGGGUGGCACCACUCCCACAAGGGAACAUCCAGCAGGACCACGUGGUGUGUCCCUGGGGGGGCUGGUCAUGGUGGAGAGGGGUUUGCUGAGUGC